rfam:Stegodyphus mimosarum contig881, whole genome shotgun sequence.
GCCUUCGUGUUGUAAUUGGAAGCUUACUUGACUCGUAUUCGAGAGGUCCAGAGUUCGAGUCCCGGCGAAGGCA